CUCCAGCUUUCUUGUAGGCCCCUUUAGGUACUGAAAGGCUGCUAUAAGGUAUCCCUGUGACCUUUUCUUCUCCAGGCUGAACAACCCAACUCUCUCAGCCUGUCUUCAUAGGAAGAUGAGCGAAGGAAGAAGACAAGAGCUGGCCCCCGAGUACGGCCCGCGCCCGGGGGACACGCUGGACCAGUGGGUUUCGGCCUUCUUGGUGUACGCCAGCGUGCUGUGCGAGAAGCACCCUGCGCGCUGCGGGGCCAUGUUCAAGUACCUGGACACCAUCCGGAAGCUGCAUGCCACCUACGGGGGCACCUCGUGGAUGAACUACGACGAGGACUUUCGGCGGCGGGCGGCCAAGGACCCCAACCUGCCCUGGGGUGACGUUGACCUCGACCUGUGGAUGAAGUGGAUGGCACCGCUCAAGUCGCUCAUCCCCAGGAAGCCGCGUGCUGAGGUCGAGAAGCAUGCCUCGCCGACACCAUCGCACCAGCACCUGCACCAGCACCUGCACCCUCACAGAGCCCCAAGCAGGAGGAGAAAAGCCAGACUCCAUGAAAACAGAAGGCCAGUUGGGAUGGCAGUCAAACUAACUGGCCUGACUCCGUUGGUGUUUAAGUGGAGCUCUGGUAUACUAGUGCAUUCUUUUACCUCUGCUUCUGUUGCGUUGCAAGCUGUGCUAGAGAAGACGUAGGAAAUUCAUUUUACCCAAUCAGCAAUUGUAACAAUGGACUACAAACCUGCAGAGCAAGCCAGUUUGCUGGAAAACAGGAAUUCCUGCAGCGCAGCACUUGUCACAGACUAUCCAAAGAGGGCAAAGAUUCAGGAAGGUGAAUAAAUUGAACAUUGGUUGAAUGAGGUCA
rnacentral:lncRNA from 14 species